AUAACUUUCUCAGCUUUUUCUCUAAGAUCAGGUGUAGUGUCUGUUCUUAUCGGUUUGAUAUUUGAGCCAUCGGCUCAGCCGAUAUUACCGCAAUUUCUUAGGAGGAAGGUUCAUCGAGGUAGCUUGCUACCUGGGCUUUCGCGCGUCGUCUAAGCGUUGCACUACGGAAAAGGCCUGGCGCACCCCAA